CGGGACGGAGGCGCCUCUGGUCCGAGCGCGGGGACUCGACGAGCAGCGCGGGAAAGAGAGGGGAGCCACGGGCCGGGGCUCUCCCCGACUGCAAGGCGGAUCUGGCAUCUGAAUCAGGAACGGCUGGUGCAGUUGUGGGCUGGAUGAAGGCUAGAAAACCAAGGCUGAAUCCUGGCAAGAUGAAAGCUUGUGUGUGAUAGUGGUUCCUGGAUCUGGGACGUCAGAAUGAAUCAGAAUCAAAGUAGCUUUAGGAACAAGAGGUGUGCUGUCAAGGAGGGACAUUGAACUUCAGCUUCAAUAACAAAAUGUGGAUCUUGGAACCCCUUUCUUUGGCCUUCAGGACUCUCCUCAGACGAGCUUCCUCUCUUCAGGCCACACCCCUCAAUGGCCCUGGGCUGCUGCCCUGAGCUCCUUUGGAGGAGGAAAGGCAGGAUGUGAAGUUAAUUAAUAAAUAACUUAAAACAGAUUAAUCAACUAAUGCCUUAGGCUGCCAUCUCAACAGGAUUCAGUUCAGUGCUAUACAUCAGAGUGGGCAAUGUUUUUGAAGGCUGCAUCCCCUCCAGAUAAUCUGUCAUGAGCUGCAUUCCAGCUGUGGACAAAGUCUGAGAGAAAAAGUGUUCUGUAUUAAUGAAUCCAGAAUAAAGACCAGUUUGCUUCAGUUUUCACCAAAGCUAUCUCAGAUGAGAAUUCCCAACCUGAGAAGUCAGUCCCACUGUGUUUGCUGGGAUCUUAACUGUACAGAGGAUUUUUUAAACAACAACAACAGUUCAGUACAGCUACUGUUCUGGAAAACAAAGUAAUUUAUGGCUUUAGUUUGCUACACACACAGUAGAAGCCUACUAAUUUGUUCUCCGACAGCUGGGAGGUGGGUGGAACUUCUUUUCUCUAAGCCAUGCAACCUGGAAAAGAGUUAAAUCAACAACAGCAAAAUUUGUUUCCAACAAAUAAAAUGCUGCUCAUUUCAGCUUGGAAGCUACAACGAAAGAGGAACAGGGUGCAUUUAAAAGCCGGGGGAAAUAAAGAAGAAAUGAACAUGAAUUCUGAUAGAAUGGAAGACGAGGGCAGCUUCAAGAGGUGUUGAAAGUUUCACAACAUGAGGCUGAGGCUGCAUGCAGUUGGUUGCUGAUCUGUGAUAUAUGCACUCGCUUAUAAAUGAGUCCCACUCAAGUCAGGAAAAAAAGGCACACAGCUGGUCCAUCUAGUUCAGCAUUACCUACUCUGUCUGGCAGUGGCUCUCCAGGGUUUCAAACAGUGGACAUUUCUAGCCCCACCUGCAAUGCCAGGAAUAAAAAUUUGGACUUUCUGCGUGCAAGGCUGAUGCUUUGCUACUGAGCUUUGGUCCUUCCCAAUUUAUGAGAUAACGUGACUUACUUCUGAGUACAUAGAACCUCCUUAUACCUAUCUCAGUAGUGUCUACUCUCAGUGUCAGUGUGUUCCAGGGCUUCAGACAGGAGGAAUCUUAACAGGAGAUGCUGGUGCCUGAAUCUGGAACCACCUUCCAGCAAAGCACAUCCUGUAUCACUGAGCUUUGGCCAUACUAAUUCUAUUGGUAUGUCUUUGAGUAGGCAUUCAUAAGUUCAUGCUACAAAUCUCUGCACGGACACCCUUGGGAAUGGGGUUGGUGGGGAGCAUGUGCCUUUGCUGGCAUCUGUUUGUGCCUCCCUAGGAAUGCCCUCCACCCAUCCGCUGAGAACCACAGUGCUCCAAAUCUUGCACAGAUGCUGGUGAACUCCAGAAAUUCGAGUAAGCUAAAUGAACAGACUCUACAGCAUGUUGGGCUGUAAGAAUUCCUUGGCUUCCCUACAAUAUUUAUUCUUCAGCGUGGUAGAUUUCUCUCUCUUUUCCUUAAAUACAGAGCUGUAUUUUCAAAGCCGAAUUCCCUCCCUUCAUAUCUGCUUUCAAAAUAUUCCCCACAGGCGUAUUCCGCAACACAUCAUUGAUGCAGUUAUAACGCCUUAGUCGCGGGUUGAUGCUGGACCAUCUACACAUCGUUCUGCUUUAUUAGUUGUUUCUGUGAUGCUUCCCCAGUGUUAUUGUGUUGUUGUCAUCUGGAGGGAUGCUUUUGUGCUAUGGUGCAGCAAACAUGGGGGGGGGGACCAACAACAACAACAAAAACCCUCACGGAACAUUUGCUGUAUGAGAAGUUACAGGAUUUCAGCAAGAAGCUACAAGACAUGUAUCAACUGAAAAUGAAGCAACAUGUCUAGCCCAAAACAUACGCAGGCACAAAAAGUAUUGAAAGUGGGAUUGUGUAUAAUUGUGCUGAUAUCACAAUGAGCACAAAUGACCAUUAAUGGAAGGGCCCUAAGUUCAGGUUGAAACUUUUGCAGGCUCAAGUAGUAUUGAUAGCAGGAGCUCAUAGAACCACCUGGUACCAUGAGAACAUUUCUAAGUUUCACAGCUGUGCAAAAAUCCAAUCUCACCCGCUGAAUUGACGCUCAGUUAAGCAAAACCUCUAUUUAGAUUUCCCAUGCAUUCAAUAAGCUCUGAUUCAGCGGGUUGAGAUCAGACCUUUGCAAGGCACAUCCACGUAACAAUGAGAAAAGCUCUUGUACCCCGGGGGAAUUAAUCUGCACACAAUGUGAUUAAAAUACAGGUUAAACGAAAGUGUGGAUGAGCCCUUACUUGGUUUAUCAAAGAUAGGCCAAACAUUGAAACGAGAUUGAGGAAAAAACAGAGCUGUGUUUGAACUGGUUGCUGUGAACAGGUGGCCUCUAGCGGUAGCAAUGAAUACUUGCAAGGUAUAACUAAUUAGCAGGGGUUUUUGUGUUGAUGGUGAAAUCAUACCUUAUAUCUUCCUCUCUGCUCCUUGCCUUAAUGUUCAAAUGUUAUUUUUAUGGUAGCACCUUUAUUUGAACUGAUUACCUAUCAGUUAUCUAUUAUAGUUUAUUAGAGAUAUGAAACCAGACAUUCUCUUCCAAGGCAAAGCUGGUGGCGACCUACAAAACAGCUUUUUCUAUAGUGGUGCGAGGCAUUACACAUUUAGGUUAUCUUCCACUUUUUAUGUCUUCUGUUAGCAUAGCAAUUGAAACAUUUUCCUUUUGAAACAAGCUUUUGAGUCUGUUGCACCUUAAUGUAUUGCUAGUGCUACACUUCCGGGGUUUUUCUCUUUCUUUUCUUUUUGCUGCUGUUUUGAAUUUGUAUAUUUGUAUUUUUAAAUGGUUAUAAUCAUUGUUUUAGCUUGCUUUGUAUUUGUAUUUCGCUUUCAGAAACUUGUUUGUGGAGCGAGUACAUAUAUAUAUAUAUAGAGAGAGAGAGAGAGAGAGAGAGAUGGAGUUUAUAAAUUUUAUAAACAGUCUCCUAUGCUCUUAAUGUACAAAUUGCCAGAAUGCCCUCCUGGAUAACUGCUACAAAGAUGCAUACUUGCCACUAUUAUCAAUGCUUUUUAAAAAUCCAAGUUAAAUUACUACAUUGAGUUGUACAUGGGGCAGCUCUUGAAGACAGUCCAGAGACUUUGAUUGGUGGUUAUCCAGAGCUUGCCAUUCUAAACAUAUAGGUCCUUUCUAAGUCCUGUUUUAAAAGAUCUGCAUUUGUGUUGUUAUGUACUGAAAUUCUCACCCUGGGCCAGCAGGAGGAUACUGUAGAUAGUUUUCACUCAGGUCCAC